CCUACGGGGGGCAGCAGUAGGGAAUCUUUCACAAUGGGCGAAAGCCUGAUGGAGCAACGCCGCGUGCAGGAUGAAGGCCUUCGGGUUGUAAACUGCUUUUAUAAGCGAGAAAUAUGAUGGUAACUUAUGAAUAAGGAUCGGCUAACUACGUGCCAGCAGCCGCGGUCAUACGUAGGAUCCGAGCAUUAUCCGGAGUGACUGGGGGUAAAGAGUUGCGUAGGUGGCAUAAUAAGUAGCUAGUGAAAUCUGGUGGCUCAACCAUUCAGACUAUUAGCUAAACUGUUAAGCUCGAGACCGUUAGGGGUAACUGGAAUUUCUAGUGUAGGAGUGAAAUCCGUAGAUAUUAGAAGGAACACCAAUAGCGUAGGCAGGUUGCUGGGACGGUUCUGACACUAAGGCACGAAAGCGUAGGGAGCAAACGGGAUUAGAUACCCGUGUAGUC
rnacentral:rRNA from 1 species